rnacentral:lncRNA from 1 species
AAAUACAAACAAGAAAGGCUUCAAUACAAUAUAUAUGCAGGAGUAUGUCAAAAAUCUUUGCUAGCACAAAGAAAAAUAAUAUUUAACCUACAACUAGAAAUACAAGCAAUAGAGUAUAAAUUGAAACAUAAUUUAAGAUGAAUAAGGAAGAAUUUGCUAUAGAAGAAAAGACAUACGAAAAUCCUGAAGGAUUAAAAAUAAAAAUAAUAUUUUCAAAUCUAGGAAGAAGNN